UAAGUGCAUGUGGUGGAUGCCUUGGCGAUUACAGGCGAUGAAGGACGUGAUAGUCUGCGAAAUUUUUCGGGGAGCUGACAAAUGAGCUUUGAUCCGGAAGUGUCCGAAUGGGGAAACCCACCCGCAAGGGUAUCCAUUACUGAAUACAUAGGUAAUGUGAAGCGAACCGAGUGAACUGAAACAUCUAAGUAACUCGAGGAAAAAAAAAAAA
rnacentral:rRNA from 1 species